rnacentral:rRNA from 1 species
CUAAUACAUGCAAGUCGAGCGCGGGAAGCAAACUGAAUCCUUCGGGAGGACGUUUGUGGAACGAGCGGCGGACGGGUGAGUAACACGUGGGCAACCUGCCUGUAAGACUGGGAUAACUCCGGGAAACCGGGGCUAAUACCGGAUGACACUUCGUACCGCAUGGUACGGAGUUGAAAGAUGGUUUACGCUAUCACUUACAGAUGGGCCCGCGGCGCAUUAGCUAGUUGGUGGGGUAAUGGCUCACCAAGGCGACGAUGCGUAGCCGACCUGAGAGGGUGAUCGGCCACACUGGGACUGAGACACGGCCCAGACUCCUGCGGGAGGCAGCAGUAGGGAAUCUUCCGCAAUGGACGCAAGUCUGACGGAGCAACGCCGCGUGAGUGAGGAAGGUCUUCGGAUCGUAAAACUCUGUUGUUAGGGAAGAACACGUACGAGAGUCACUGCUCGUACCUUGACGGUACCUAACCAGAAAGCCACGGCUAACUACGUGCCAGCAGCCGCGGUAAUACGUAGGUGGCAAGCGUUGUCCGGAAUUAUUGGGCGUAAAGCGCGCGCAGGCGGCUUCUUAAGUCUGAUGUGAAAUCUCGCGGCUCAACCGUGAGCGGUCAUUGGAAACUGGGGAGCUUGAGUACAGAAGAGGAGAGCGGAAUUCCACGUGUAGCGGUGAAAUGCGUAGAGAUGUGGAGGAACACCAGUGGCGCAGGCGG